GUAUUCUUGCAAAACCUGUGGAAAAGGGUUUGUGCAAAAUAGUAAAUUGUUGCUCCACAUGAGAACACACACAGGUGAGAAGCCUUAUUCUUGCAAAACGUGUGGAAAAGACUUUAGACGUAAAGAUAACUUGGAAAUCCACAUGAGAACACACACAGGUGAGAAGCCUUAUUCUUGCAAAACGUGUGGAAAAGACUUUGGACGUAAACAUCACCUGGAAAUCCACAUGAGAACACACACAGUUGAGAAGCCUUAUCCUUGCAAAACGUGUGGAAAACGGUUUGGGUAUAGUAGUACCUUGUUGGUCCACAUGAGAACCCACACUGGUGAGAAGCCAUAUUCUUGCAAAACAUGUGGAAAAGACUUUGGACGUAAAGAUAAAUUGGAAAUCCACAUGAGAACACACACAGGUGAGAAGCCUUAUUCUUGCAAAACGUGUGGAAAAGACUUUGGACGUAAACAUCACCUGGAAAUCCACAUGAGAACACACACAGUUGAGAAGCCUUAUCCUUGCAAAACGUGUGGAAAAGACUUUGGACGUAAAGAUAAAUUGGAAAUCCACAUGAGAACGCACACAGGUGAGAAGCCAUAUUCUUGCAAAACAUGUGGAAAAGGGUUUGGAUGUAAAGAUAAAUUGGAAAUCCACAUGAGAACUCACACAGGUGAGAAUCCGUACGUUUGCAAGACCUGCAGGAAAAGAUUCAGUGAGGCUUCAGGUUUAACGAAGCAUAUGAGAACCCACAGAGGAUAGAAUCUAAUCUAAUAUUGAUCCUUUGAAUUUUGAUUAUAAAGUUCUAGUGGUUCAUGGUCAAAACUGACAAGAACCCUCAGAAGUGAGGAGCAACAUUUUUGCAGCAAUUGUGGGAAAAGUUACCUGAGGAUCAACAUAGAUAGGAGAAACCAUCGAGCUGAAACUCUCAGAGAGACCUGUUUAACUCAGUUAAAUACUUUAGCAGUAGUUACAUCUCUGUUACUGAAUGUUAAAUAUUUUGAACAAAUCUCGGAAUCACUUUUAGUUUUACAAGGAUUUAAAUCCAUGUACCUCGAGUAGUAUUUGAUAGUUCUAUAUGAAGCCUCCUGCACAUCUUUGCAGGAAGUCAGGGUCACAUUCAGGCCCGACUUAAUGUAGCAACAGAUUCUUUUGAACUGAAACGGGGGUGCGUUGAACACCCUGCUGUGUGCCCUCUGCCUUUUUAUUACCACAAGUUUACAGGCACGUCUCUGCUGAUUGGCUGUCACCUGGGACAGCCAAUAAACCAGAGACACGCCCACCAAACCAGAGAAAACAGAACUCAACGCCUGUUGCACACGUUUCACACCGUUCAGAGGAAACCUGUCGUUCAACCAGGUACCGCAGCAACAAGGUGCACACCGAUUUGAGAUUGAGAUAGGUUUUACAUUUCUGAGUGACUGACAUCAGUUUAUAUUACAGUUUAAGAUUGUUUAAGUGCCUUUUGGCUAUUUUUAUACACUAGCUUUUGUGUCUGACACGAUUCUGGCCAAAUGUUUUGCAUAUUUGUUUGAUAAAUGACAAAUGGUUGAUUGUUUUUUUGGAGAGUGUGAUCAGCUAUGUGAUGACUGAAUGGUUUGGGAAACUUCCUGUAUCAUCAAAAUAAAAGUUACUGCUAAAGAAA